rnacentral:rRNA from 1 species
ACGCUAGCUACAGGCUUAACACAUGCAAGUCGAGGGGAAACGGCAUUAAGUGCUUGCACUUUUUGGACGUCGACCGGCGCACGGGUGAGUAACGCGUAUCCAACCUUCCCAUGACUAAGGGAUAACCUGCCGAAAGGCAGACUAAUACCUUAUGGUCUUCACUGACGGCAUCAGAUGUGAAGUAAAGAUUUAUCGGUUAUGGAUGGGGAUGCGUCUGAUUAGCUUGUUGGCGGGGUAACGGCCCACCAAGGCAACGAUCAGUAGGGGUUCUGAGAGGAAGGUCCCCCACAUUGGAACUGAGACACGGUCCAAACUCCUACGGGAGGCAGCAGUGAGGAAUAUUGGUCAAUGGGCGAGAGCCUGAACCAGCCAAGUAGCGUGCAGGAUGACGGCCCUAUGGGUUGUAAACUGCUUUUGUAUGGGGAUAAAGUCAGUCACGUGUGAUUGUUUGCAGGUACCAUACGAAUAAGGACCGGCUAAUUCCGUGCCAGCAGCCGCGGUAAUACGGAAGGUCCGGGCGUUAUCCGGAUUUAUUGGGUUUAAAGGGAGCGUAGGCUGGAGAUUAAGUGUGUUGUGAAAUGUAGACGCUCAACGUCUGACUUGCAGCGCAUACUGGUUUCCUUGAGUACGCACAACGUUGGCGGAAUUCGUCGUGUAGCGGUGAAAUGCUUAGAUAUGACGAAGAACUCCGAUUGCGAAGGCAGCUGACGGGAGCGCAACUGACGCUGAAGCUCGAAGGUGCGGGUAUCGAACAGGAUUAGAUACCCUGGUAGUCCGCACAGUAAACGAUGGAUGCCCGCUGUUGGUACCUGGUAUCAGCGGCUAAGCGAAAGCAUUAAGCAUCCCACCUGGGGAGUACGCCGGCAACGGUGAAACUCAAAGGAAUUGACGGGGGCCCGCACAAGCGGAGGAACAUGUGG